CUUUCAACAACGGAUCUCUUGGUUCUGGCAUCGAUGAAGAACGCAGCGAAAUGCGAUAAGUAAUGUGAAUUGCAGAAUUUAGUGAAUCAUCGAAUCUUUGAACGCACAUUGCGCCCCUUGGUAGUCCGGGGGGCAUGCCUGUUCGAGCGUCA
rnacentral:rRNA from 1 species